rfam:Populus trichocarpa isolate Nisqually-1 chromosome 12, whole genome shotgun sequence.
GAGCUGUGAGGAUACGAGUGCUUAUUGUGAUGAUAGGGUCUAUCACUACCGUCAGAUAUAUUCAUCGGACGAAAAGAAGCGCUUCUGAGCUU